UGGGGAAUAUUGCACAAUGGGCGAAAGCCUGAUGCAGCAAUGCCGCGUGAGUGAUGAAGGCCCUCGGGUCGUAAAGCUCUUUUACCCGAGAUGAUAAUGACAGUACCGGGAGAAUAAGUCCCGGCUAACUCCGUGCCAGCAGCCGCGGUAAUACGGAGGGAGCUAGCGUUGUUCGGAAUUACUGGGCGUAAAGCGCGCGUAGGCGGCUUUUCAAGUCAGGGGUGAAAUCCCGGGGCUCAACCUCGGAACUGCCUUUGAAACUGGAGAGCUAGAAUCUUGGAGAGGCGAGUGGAAUUCCGAGUGUAGAGGUGAAAUUCGUAGAUAUUCGGAAGAACACCAGUGGCGAAGGCGACUCGCUGGACAAGUAUUGACGCUGAGGCGCGAAAGCGUGGGGAGCAA
rnacentral:rRNA from 1 species